CCUACGGGUGGCUGCAGUGGGGAAUAUUGGACAAUGGGGGGAACCCUGAUCCAGCCAUGCCGCGUGUGUGAAGAAGGCCCUCGGGUUGUAAAGCACUUUCAGUGAGGAAGAACGCCUGGUGGUUAAUACCCAUCAGGAAAGACAUCACUCACAGAAGAAGCACCGGCUAACUCCGUGCCAGCAGCCGCGGUAAUACGGAGGGUGCGAGCGUUAAUCGGAAUUACUGGGCGUAAAGCGCGCGUAGGUGGCUUGAUAAGCCGGUUGUGAAAGCCCCGGGCUCAACCUGGGAACGGCAUCCGGAACUGUCAAGCUAGAGUGCAGGAGAGGAAGGUAGAAUUACCGGUGUAGCGGUGAAAUGCGUAGAGAUCGGGAGGAAUACCAGUGGCGAAGGCGGCCUUCUGGACUGACACUGACACUGAGGUGCGAAAGCGUGGGUAGCAAACAGGAUUAGAUACCCCAGUAGUC
rnacentral:rRNA from 1 species